CAUUCAACUGUGCACACGAAACCAUUGGAACUUGUGGACAACCAACAAAACUAAACAUUGGAAGAUUCAGAACCAGUGAGGGCGGUGAAUGUCCUGUGUGAGUGCCUGGAGGCGGUUGGAGGAUGGAUGGUGGUUAACAGAUUGAGGUUGAAUCCUGACAAGAUUGAGG